rnacentral:rRNA from 1 species
GCCCCGGUAAACGGCGGCCGUAACUAUAACGGUCCUAAGGUAGCGAAAUUCCUUGUCGGGUAAGUUCCGACCUGCACGAAUGGCGUAAUGAUGGCCAGGCUGUCUCCACCCGAGACUCAGUGAAAUUGAACUCGCUGUGAAGAUGCAGUGUACCCGCGGCAAGACGGAAAGACCCCGUGAACCUUUACUAUAGCUUGACACUGAACAUUGAGCCUUGAUGUGUAGGAUAGGUGGGAGGCUUUGAAGUGUGGACGCCAGUCUGCAUGGAGCCGACCUUGAAAUACCACCCUUUAAUGUUUGAUGUUCUAACGUUGGCCCGUAAUCCGGGUUGCGGACAGUGUCUGGUGGGUAGUUUGACUGGGGCGGUCUCCUCCUAAAGAGUAACGGAGGAGCACGAAGGUUGGCUAAUCCUGGUCGGACAUCAGGAGGUUAGUGCAAUGGCAUAAGCCAGCUUGACUGCGAGCGUGACGGCGCGAGCAGGUGCGAAAGCAGGUCAUAGUGAUCCGGUGGUUCUGAAUGGAAGGGCCAUCGCUCAACGGAUAAAAGGUACUCCGGGGAUAACAGGCUGAUACCGCCCAAGAGUUCAUAUCGACGGCGGUGUUUGGCACCUCGAUGUCGGCUCAUCACAUCCUGGGGCUGAAGUAGGUCCCAAGGGUAUGGCUGUUCGCCAUUUAAAGUGGUACGCGAGCUGGGUUUAGAACGUCGUGAGACAGUUCGGUCCCUAUCUGCCGUGGGCGCUGGAGAACUGAGGGGGGCUGCUCCUAGUACGAGAGGACCGGAGUGGACGCAUCACUGGUGUUCGGGUUGUCAUGCCAAUGGCACUGCCCGGUAGCUAAAUGCGGAAGAGAUAAGUGCUGAAAGCAUCUAAGCACGAAACUUGCCCCGAGAUGAGUUCUCCCUGAGACUUAGAGUCUCCUGAAGGAACGUUGAAGACGACGAC